rnacentral:piRNA from 1 species
UAGGGAACCUAGUGGUGAAGCUGUUUUCCU